CAGUCGCCGCGGUAAUACGAAGGGGGCUAGCGUUGCUCGGAAUUACUGGGCGUAAAGGGCGCGUAGGCGGCGCUCCAAGUUAGGCGUGAAAUUCCCGGGCUCAACCUGGGGACUGCGCUUAAGACUGGAGUGCUUGAGAAUGGAAGAGGGUUGUGGAAUUCCCAGUGUAGAGGUGAAAUUCGUAGAUAUUGGGAAGAACACCGGUGGCGAAGGCGGCAACCUGGUCCAUUACUGACGCUGAGGCGCGAUAGCGUGGGGAGCAAACAGGAUUAGAUACCCGCGUAGUCCCUGUCUCUUAUAC
rnacentral:rRNA from 1 species